rnacentral:rRNA from 1 species
GAUGAACGCUAGCUACAGGCUUAACACAUGCAAGUCGAGGGGUAACGAGAGGAAAGCUUGCUUUCCUUGUCGACGACCGGCGCACGGGUGAGUAACGCGUAUCCAACCUGCCCCCAACUAGGGAAUAACCUUGCGAAAGUAAGACUAAUACCCUAUAAUUUCCUCAGAUGCCAUCUGACGAGGAAUAAAGAUUUAUCGGUUGUGGAUGGGGAUGCGUCUGAUUAGCUUGUUGGCGGGGUAACGGCCCACCAAGGCAACGAUCAGUAGGGGUUCUGAGAGGAAGGUCCCCCACAUUGGAACUGUGACACGGUCCAAACUCCUACGGGAGGCAGCAGUGAGGAAUAUUGGUCGAUGGGCGGAAGCCUGAACCAGCCAAGUAGCGUGCAGGAUGACGGCCCUAUGGGUUGUAAACUGCUUUUAUACAGGAAUAAAGUUAGCCACGUGUGGUUAUUUGUAGGUACUGUAUGAAUAAGGACCGGCUAAUUCCGUGCCAGCCGCCGCCGUAA